AGGUAAUUAGCUUAAUGGUAGAGUAUCUCGCUUACAUCGAGAAUGUUAAUGGUUCAAAUCCGUUAUUACCUA
rnacentral:tRNA from 1 species